CAAGACUCAUAAGACCCUUCUUACAUCAU
rnacentral:tRNA from 1 species